rnacentral:rRNA from 1 species
AACGAACGCUGGCGGCAGGCUUAACACAUGCAAGUCGAACGGUUGUAGCAAUACAGCAGUGGCGCACGGGUGAGUAACGCGUGGGAACGUACCGUUUAGUUCGGAAUAACCAUUGGAAACGAUGGCUAAUACUGGAUACGCCCUUCGGGGGAAAGAUUUAUCGCUAAAAGAUCGGCCCGCGUAAGAUUAGGUAGUUGGUGGGGGAAUGGCCUACCAAGCCUACGCUCUUUAUCUGGUCUGAGAGGAUGCUCAGCCACACUGGAACUGGGACACGGUCCAGACUCCUACGCGAGGUAGCAGUGGGGAAUAUUGGACAAAGGGCGCAAGCCUGCUCCAGCCAUGCCGCGUGUGUGAAGAAGGCCUUAUGGUUGUAAAGCACUUUAAGCGAGGAGGAGGCUACUUUAGUUAAUACCUAGAGAUAGUGGACGUUACUCGCAGAAUCAGCACCGGCUAACUCUGUGCCAGCCGCCGCGGUAA